rnacentral:rRNA from 1 species
AACGUCGUGAGACAGUUUGGUCCCUAUCCGCCGCGGGCGCUGGAGGACUGAGGGGGACUGCUCCCAGUACGAGAGGACCGGAGUGGACGCGCCUCUGGUUUACGGGCUGUCACGCCGGUGGCACCGCCCGGCAGCCAAGCGCGGAACCGAUAACCGCUGAAGGCAUCUAAGCGGGAAGCGGGCCCCGAGAUGAGUCCUCCCUGAGCUUAGGCUCACUGAAGGGACGUUGCAGACUACGACGUUGAUAGGCCGGAAGUGGAAGCGCGGCGACGCGUGAAGCCUGCCGGUACUAAUGAACCGUGAGGCCUGACCGU